rnacentral:tRNA from 1 species
GAGGAUAUAGCUCCAUGGCAGAGCACUUGCCUAGCAUGCAUGAAGCCCUGGGUUCCAUCCCCAGCAAUGUUG